CCUGUCCCUAGAGGCAUUGCAGGAGUGGGGGCUGUGUCACAUGUGUGUAGGUGGCAGAGAGGACAGAGGCUAUGUCUAUACUCAGGGCUCUGACCUGUGACCAUCUGAAUGAGUAGUAGCUUAACACG